GAGCAGCCUAAUCUCUGAUGGGUCAGAAGCCCUUACCCCAUUCCCUUUUCAGGUCCUGGCUACUUCUCAUGUCCCUUUAUCACCAAAACCAGGCAAGAAAUUAACAAGAAAUGCCCCAGUGAAACACCAAUGGCAGAGAAAACGCAUGUAGGUAACUGGAAACAGCAGCCUUACCUCCUGCUGAGGAUCAAGAUUUCUUAAUCCAGUCAGUUCCUAGCUCAGUACCCUCUCAGUUGAAGUUUGCCGCCACCUCUGAAUACACAGCAACUUUUUCCAGGAUAUCCCCAGGGGACCUCAACAACUUUGUCAUCACCACAAUCUUCGCAGGCAAGGUCUUGAAGGUAUCCACCUUUCCCUAGGGACACAGAAGCCAGGAGACCAAGUGCUACUUACAACUUGGAGGAACCAACACCCCAAAGAUCAGCAGAAAUCACAAUGGGUUGGUCCCUUUGAGGUGCUCCUGAGCACGUACCCCUUCAUCAGUCGAGCAAGCAGGAUAAAACUGUGCAUUCACUAUACUCAGGAGAUACGGCUACCACCUGGGCUAAAGUUCAAGUGAAGUACAUGCUCCUCAGCCACCUACAUAUGGCUGUUGCCACUGAAAGCAACUCUGCCCUCCCCACCAGCUGCAGUCCAGCUGCUACUGGCCCUCACCCAGCCAUUCUGCCUUGGGCCUGGAUGUGACUCUGCCCCUUCCUACCACCACUAGUGCCUUAAUGCACCACCAGCAGGCCUGAGGACAGGUCUGCUUGUCUCAGAUCUGCUCCCCCCAGUGUCCCAUCAGAUAUC